AAAAGUGGAUUAGCGGCGACGGGUGAGUAACACGUGAGUAACCUGCCUUAGACAUUGGGAUAGCCUCGGGAAACCGGGAUUAAUACCAAAUAAAAUCAUAAUGACACAUGUCAUAACGAUCAAAACUCCGGUGGUCUAAGAUGGACUCGCGUCCCAUUAGCUAGUUGGUAGAGUAAAAGCCUACCAAGGCGACGAUGGGUAGCCGGCCUGAGAGGGUGAACGGCCACAUUGGAACUGAGAAACGGUCCAA
rnacentral:rRNA from 1 species